rnacentral:lncRNA from 1 species
CCCCCUCCCUCCUGAUGGUGACCUUGUCCCAGGUCUUCUACCAGGCCUUCUACCAGAUGCUUUGCUGAGAAUUCACAGAGGCCGUAGACCUGAAGAACCAACAACCUUCCAUAGGCUUUGAGGUCCCACUCCGGCAGCAGGACGUGCUGGCUCCCAGGAAUCACUGAAUUGACAAACAAUUGUGGAGGUUGGCAAUUCCAAAAUCUGAGGAGUAGGUAAACUGGAAGACUAGAGACCCUGGGAAGAGUUGAUGUUACAGCUUGAAUCUGAAGGCAGUCUGCUGGAAGAAUCCCCUCUUUCUUGUAGAAGCCCCUUGACUGGGCAAACUUCAAACAAGUGACUGAGCUCCCUUAGCUGCCACUGAUUGGACCAGGAUGGACAACAAAUGUAGGAGGAGUUCAUCUGGAUCUAGCCUGAGCCAGUCAGAUAUCCCCUUUGAAUCCAUGCCUAUAGAAAUACAAAAAAAUGGAAGCCAGAGGAUGAUGGAUCCUUGAAGUAAUAAGUCAGGUAGAUCUUGAAAAUUUUUGACUCAAUCCAUAUUGAUGAACACAAGAAUAAUUCUGGUCUACAAAGAGAGGCAAGAGAAAGACUUGGGGUGUAUUAAGAAAAACAGCUCUGUGGAAGUUUGAGUGACUCAUUGCAGAGAGGAAUUGAUGAAGUCAACAGCUGCUGGAAAAACUUCUUUUUCCUUAAUAGCUGUAUCAACAUGUGGUUGCUAUUAUUCAAAGUGGAUGAAAUAAUUCUGCAAGCCAGUGGGAACAGGAAGCUUCAUGAAGAGGAGAAAGGCUUAGGGCUCAGAAACCGCACAGAGCAGGAGGAUAGAUGAAUGUAAGGAACAGAGCUUUGAGGACAGACACCCCUGGAUUAGACAAUAGCUCCAAAACUUAUUAAUGAUGGUGAAUGGGUGACUUUCUAAAACCCUUUAAACCUUAUUUGUAAAAUGGGACCAUCAAUAUCUAUUUUGAAAUCUUGUAUAAAUUUGCAAUAAUGUCUGUAAAGUAUCUGACAGGAGCUCAGAAAUGACACAAUUCUUUAAAUCCACUCACACCCAACUUUUAAACAAAAAGUAGCAGUAUAUCCUACACACGAUUUUUAAAUUUUACUAUUUAAGUUAACAUCAUGCUAUGAACAUAUUUCCAUGUCAUUAAAUAUUCUAUUCCAUCCAAUAUUUAAAAGCUAAUAGAAGUCUGUUAAAUGCAUAUGCCAUAAUUUAUUUAACCAAUUCGGUUGUUUUAAUAUUUAUGUUGUUUCCAAUAUAUUAUGCUAUUGACAAUAAAAUGAUGAACAUUUAUGAUGAUGAA